UACGGGGGGAGCAAGCGUUGUUCGGAUUUACUGGGCGUAAAGGGCGCGUAGGCGGCCACCGCAAGUCGACUGUGAAAUCUCCGGGCUUAACCCGGAAAGGUCAGCCGAUACUGCGGGGCUAGAGUGCAGAAGGGGCAACUGGAAUUCUCGGUGUAGCGGUGAAAUGCGUAGAUAUCGAGAGGAACACCGGUGGCGAAGGCGGCCCGCUGGGCAGGAAGGCUCGCAAGAGCCGGCUGACACUGAGGCGCGACAGCGUGGGGAGCAAACAGG
rnacentral:rRNA from 1 species